rnacentral:rRNA from 1 species
GACAGAGGGUGCAACCGUUGCUCGGAAUUACUGGGCGUAAAGCGCGUGUAGGCGGGCCGGAAAGUCGGGCGUGAAAUCCCUGGGCUCAACCCAGGAACUGCACUCGAAACUUCCGGUCUAGAGUGGUGGAGAGGGAAGUGGAAUUCCUGGUGUAGAGGUGAAAUUCGUAGAUAUCAGGAGGAACACCAGUGGCGAAGGCGGCUUCCUGGACACCAACUGACGCUGAGACGCGAAAGCGUGGGGAGCAAACAGG